ACCUUAGAUGUUCUGGGCCGCACGCGUGCUACACUGAGUGGAUCAGCGGGUCAGGUUGCGCGAAAGUGUUUCCUAAUCUUGAAAUCCGCUCGUGAUGGGGAUUGACGGUUGCAAUUUUCCGUCAUGAACGAGGAAUACCUUGUAAGCGCGGGUCAUCAUCCCGCGCUGAAUACGUCCCUGCCCUUUGUACACACCGCCCGUCGCUCCUACCGAUUGAGUGGUCCGGUGAGGCUUUGGGAUCUGAGCGGAAAGAGCGUUUCGCUGUUUCUGCUCGGAAAACUCAGUCGAACCUUAUCAUUUAGAGGAAGGAGAAGUCGUAACA
rnacentral:rRNA from 1 species